AGGUACAAAUAUAACAUAUCAUAGAAUGCACUAUCUCAACUAUCCAAGUUCAAUGCAUCGAAUGCACCAAAUUAACAUAUAUAAUGAUAUACACAACUUAGUAUUUAUAUGAAUUCUGUGAACAUGAAUCAAUAAUCUAAUAUGCCUGAACAAAACUCAAGCUUCACUCAGCACCAGCGCUCCAUCACAUAUCAAUCCUGAAUGUUCACUGCUUGGGUGUUUUAGGUGAUGCAACUACUCAUGAG
rnacentral:lncRNA from 1 species